rnacentral:lncRNA from 1 species
CCGAACUUCCUCCUCAUUACCAUACGACUAAUGGUCUCCCGCCCCAUCUCAAUCACACCCUUAAAAAGGCCCUGAAAAUGUCCAAACCAAACUUUUCAAAAAUCUUGCAAAAUCUGAAACCUGAUUUGGUGAUUUAUGACAUAAUGCAGCAAUGGGCUGAACGUGUCGCGAAUGAACAGAACAUUCCAGCAGUGAGGCUACUAACUUUUGGUGUGGCUGUGUUAUCAUAUUUUUUUAACUUAGUAAAGAAACCAGGGGUUGAAUUCCCUUUCCCUGCUAUUUAUCUCAGCAAAAUUGAACAAGUAAAAUUGGGUGAAAUGAUGGCCAGAUCUGCUAAAGAUCAAGAACCUGAUGACGAUGAUCAAACAGCUGAUGGAACUACACAGAUCGCGUUGAUGUGUACCUCUAGAAUUAUAGAGGCCAAAUACAUAGAUUUUUUGUCUGAAUUAAGCAAUUGGAAAGUUGUUCCAGUUGGUCCACCAGUCCAAGAUUUGAUCACUAAUGACGCGGACGACAAGGAGCUCAUGGAUUGGCUAGGAACAAAAGAUGAGAAUUCAACUGUAUUUGUCUCCUUUGGGAGUGAGUAUUUCUUGUCAAAAGAAGAUAUGGAAGAAGUAGCUUUCGGGUUGGAGUUAAGUAAUGUUGAUUUCAUAUGGGUCGCAAGAUUUCCAAAAGGGGAAGAGCAAAAUCUCGAAGAUGCUUUACCAAAAGGUUUUCUUGAAAGAAUUGGAGAAAGGGGAAGAGUUUUGGACAAAUUCGCACCACAACUAAGAAUUCUAAAUCAUACGAGUACGGGAGGAUUUAUAAGUCAUUGUGGUUGGAAUUCAGUAAUGGAAAGUAUAGAUUUCGGGGUCCCUAUAAUUGCCAUGCCUAUGCAUCUUGAUCAACCAAUGAAUGCUAGGUUGAUCGUAGAAUUGGGAGUUGCGGUGGAGAUUGUUAGAGAUGAUGAUGGAAAAAUUCAUAGAGGAGAAAUCGCGGAAACUCUUAAAGAUGUCAUAACAAAGAAAACGGGGGGAAAUUUAAGGGCCAAAAUGAGAGAUAUUAGCAAGAAUUUGAAUUCUAUAAGAGGUGAAGAGAUGGAUGCUGCUGCUCAAGAGCUAAUCCAAUUUUGUAAGAUUAGUACUAAUUAACAUAAUUAUAUUGUAUGUGAGUUCUUUCAUGUUCUUGUUGAUGGUCAAAAUACAUUAAGAUUGAAAUAAUGAGAAGAAAAAAAAAAGGUUGUAACCUAUAUAUUGAUCUUACAAUUCAACAUUUUCAAACUAUGACUUUGUUUAGCUUUCAAUUCCAAUUCUCAAUAGUAACAACUAAUAAGUAUAGCCAAAUGUCGACUCAAACCAACUCACAUGUGGCACCAAAACUAUAUAUUACUUGAUUAAAUUUAGCAUUUGAAACUUAUCUAAAACAUGCUAUGAUAAUAUUCCUAAGAUGAUCACCUAUGAGGACAACUUUCUCUUAAUGAAUUUUCUUCCAUGGAAGAGGCCAGAGAUGUUGUUUUUGAGAUUGACCCUACUAGUGCAGGAGGUCCUGAUGGAUUUAAUGCUAACUUUUUCCAGCUCAACUGGGACAUCACUGGCCAUGAUAUUUAUCAGAUGAUCCUGGAGGUUCUAAAUGGUGAAGAGCUUAGUAAAUUCAUAUCUCAUACAUGUCUCAUGCUGAUUUUCUAAGGUUGAUAAUCCACAAUCCUUUCUUAUAUGAGGCCUAUCAGUCUCAACAAUGUCACUCAUAAGAUAAUUACCAAGAUCCUCAAUAAUAGACUUGCAAAACUUCUUCCUAAGAUCAUUUCUCCUAAUCAAAGUGGUUUCAUCAAAGGUAGGAGAUAAUGUUCUUCUUGCUCAAGAAAUUAUCAGUUGUAUUAGGAAGAAGAGUUCUGGGGAUAAUGUUGUUAUCAAGUUAGAUAUGAACAAGGCUUACGAUAGGCUUUCCUGGACUUUCUCAGAACAAUGGAUCUACAGUACCAUAUAGAAUCUUAUUUCUAAUAUAUAGUAUUCUAUCAUUAUCAAUGGUAAAAGAAUAGGUUUUUUCAAAUCAGAGAGAGGCUUAAAGCAAGGUGACUCUAUCUCUUCUUCUUUGUUCAUUAUUGCUGUUGAGGCUAUUUCUAGAGCUCUAAAUCUCCUCUAGGAUAAUCAUGAGUUUUCUGUAUUUUCUAUGCAUAAGAAAGGCCAACAGAUAAACUAUUUGGCUUGAUGUUGGGUUCGAAAGUGAUUAGGGCUUCAUGUGGAAGCUUACAAUUGCAUAUCAUAUGGUUGAUAAAUCAGAUAGACAAAAACUUAUACUAAAAACAUAAUAUUAUUAUAUAGUUUAGCCAAUCGGCAUACAUAUAGAAAAACUAAAUAAAAAGAAAAUAAUUAAACUGUUGAGGGAAAUCUCUCCAUAAACAAACUCUUCAUUGACUAUAUUGUGGAUGUUUUUUGUGUUCUGCAAUGAGAAUAAGGAUUUUCAAUUUAAAGAUCUCCAAACUUUUCCUCCCUCUAAGGAAAGAAUAAACCAAAUAUGGAAGAAAAUUAUAUUUUCCUUUCAUGAAAAGUUAAGCAUUUAUGAUAAUACUUUUUCUUUUUUUUUAAGAUUAGACAGCUUGUUACAUUGGGUUUUUUUAAAAAAAAAAAAAACUAAAGGCCAAAGGGCCAGAUUUUAUUAAUCAAAAUAAAAGCAAAGUACAUCAAAUGAUCAGGCCCAAUCAAUAUUUCUCUGGAAUGAUCACCAAAAUUAUCAGGACAAUUACAAUGGUGCUGAGUCUUUGGCUCUGCUUAUUGGAAUGAAAUGGUGAAAGGAAAAUGGUAUCAACAUGAUCAUUGUUUACUUAGAUUCCUUAUUGGUUAUCAGUUGGGUUACAUGCAAGAUGAAACCACCUAGGAAUUUAAGAUACAAAUAUUUAUACUACACAAAAUAUUUUUGUGUGAAUAUAAACUUUUUUCAACCGUUGUAACAGCCCGGUGUAUAGGGUCAUGAGGUAAUAAGUUGAUACACUCGGUCAAGUUAAAGCAUCGAUGACACCGUUCGUUUUCUAUAUGUAAUAAAAAACUUUUUAAUAAAAUGGAGUAGCAAAACCAAGUGGACCAACACCUAUUAAUAUUUAUUUUUUGGACUUCAGCUAUAAAAAGGAGAUCUAAAUGUUGAGAAAGCUUUUUCAGCUAUAGUUGAUUAAGAUCCAUCUAUGCAUGAUGAGAUUUAAUUGAGUGUAUAGAAUAAGUAGGCAUAUUUAAUCAUAUCUAUAUUAUUUUUUAAAACAUGAAUGUUCCUAGAAAUAUGUUGAUUGAACUUUUUAUCCAUUAUUAAAUGACGCUACAAUAAAUGAAAUUGUCAUUUACUAUUUUACUCAAAUAUUUUCAUUUAAUUAAUAUUCUAAUACUUAGGACUUUGAAAUCAAUUAAAAUUAUAUUUAUUAAAUCUUUACUUUUGAUUUUUCUAAUGUCGUCAAGAUGCAAGCGCAAUGGAAUUUAAUUUUGUUUGUCGUUUUUUUUUUCUCUCUCUUUAUGAGGUUAAGGUUCGAGUGGAAAGAGAUGGAUAAUAAUUGUAAGACAACGUCUACUACUUUAUUUCUCUUUAUUCGUCGUAUUUCUUAAGAAAUAUUAAUUAAAAGAGUUUUUACAAUUAUUUCACUCUUGUUUAUGUAUUUCAUAUUUGAAUUUUUCUAAUGUCGUCAAGAUGCAAGUCCAAUGAAGUUUAAUUCUUGUUUUUUUUCAUUUUGUUUCCUUUUUCUCUGUAUGAGGUGACAAUUCGAGUAGAAAAAGAUGGAUAAGAAUUGUAAAACAACUUCUACUACUCUAUCUGUCAAAGUCAUUCAUCGUGUUUCUUUUUUACACGUCUAACGAUCCCGUUUUGUCGUCAUCUCUUUUGUAUUUUCAAUAAAUAAGGUUGUCAGUGACACCAAACUCCACAAACAAGAACUUGAUCAUGGGAACACAAGUUACUACUACUUUGAGGUUACUUAUGUUCCCAUGGUUAGCUUAUGGACACAUUUCUCCAUUUCUAAACGUAGCUAAGAAACUCGCGGACAGGGGAUUCUUGAUUUACCUCUGUUCUACGCCGAUUAAUCUCAAAUCCACCAUUAAGAAAAUCCCUGAAAAGUAUGCUGAUUCGAUUCAGCUUAUCGAACUUCACUUACCAGAAUUACCCGAACUUCCUCCUCAUUACCAUACGACCAAUGGUCUCCCGCCCCAUCUCAAUCACACCCUUAAAAAGGCCCUGAAAAUGUCCAAACCAAACUUUUCAAAAAUCUUGGAAAAUCUGAAACCUGAUUUGGUGAUUUAUGACAUAAUGCAGCAAUGGGCUGAACGUGUCGCGAAUGAACAGAACAUUCCAGCAGUGAGGCUACUAACUUUCAGUGCAGCUGUGACUUCGUAUUUUGUCAACUUAGUAAAGAAACCAGGAGUUGAAUUCCCUUUCCCUGAUAUUUAUCUCAGGAAAAUUGAACAAGUAAAAUUGGGUGAAAUGUUGGAUAAAUCUGCUAAAGAUCAAGAACCCGAUGAUGAAGAACGUUUAGUGGAUGGAUAUAUACAAAUCGCGCUUAUAUGUACCUCUAGAACUAUAGAGGCUAAAUACAUAGAUUUUCUCUCUGAAGUGAGCAAUAUGAAAAUUGUUCCAGUUGGUCCACCAGUNNN